rnacentral:rRNA from 1 species
GACAGAGGUGCCGAGCGUUAGGCGGAAUCACUGGGCUUAAAGCGUGUGUAGGCGGCCCCGCAAGUCACUUGUGAAAUCUCCGGGCUUAACUCGGAACUGCCAAGUGAAACUGCAGGGCUAGAGUGCGGAAGGGGCAAUCGGAAUUCUUGGUGUAGCGGUGAAAUGCGUAGAUAUCAAGAGGAACACCUGAGGUGAAGACGGGUUGCUGGGCCGACACUGACGCUGAGUGCGCGAAAGCCAGGGGAGCAAACGGG